AGGGUUCGAUUCUGGCUCAGGAUGAACGCUGGCGGCGUGCUUAACACAUGCAAGUCGAACGAAGCAGCUUUCUUGCUUGCAAGAGAGUUGACUUAGUGGCGGACGGGUGAGUAACGCGUGGGUAACCUGCCUCAUACAGGGGGAUAACAGUUGGAAACGACUGCUAAGACCGCAUAACCCGCUAGUGUCGCAUGACACGGACGGAAAAUAUUUAUAGGUAUGAGAUGGGCCCGCGUCUGAUUAGCUAGUUGGUAAGGUAACGGCUUACCAAGGCGACGAUCAGUAGCCGACUUGAGAGAGUGAUCGGCCACAUUGGGACUGAGACACGGCCCAAACUCCUACGGGAGGCAGCAGUGGGGAAUAUUGGACAAUGGGGGAAACCCUGAUCCAGCGACGCCCGCGUGAGUGAAGAAGUAUUUCGGUAUGUAAAGCUCUAUCAGCAGGGAAGAUAAUGACAGUACCUGACUAAGAAGCCCCGGCUAACUACGUGCCAGCAGCAGC
rnacentral:rRNA from 1 species